rnacentral:rRNA from 1 species
GAGACAGCAGCAGCCGCGGGAAUACGAAGGGUGCAAGCGUUACUCGGAAUUACUGGGCGUAAAGCGUGCGUAGGUGGUGGUUUAAGUCCGUUGUGAAAGCCCUGGGCUCAACCUGGGAAUUGCAGUGGAUACUGGGUCACUAGAGUGUGGUAGAGGAUAGUGGAAUUUCCGGUGUAGCAGUGAAAUGCGUAGAGAUCGGAAGGAACAUCUGUGGCGAAGGCGACUAUCUGGGCCAACACUGACACUGAGGCACGAAAGCGUGGGGAGCAAACAGGAUUAGAUACCCCCGUAGUCCCUGUCUCUUAUAC